CAUCGCUCUGACGCCCUCCUUUGCCCAAAUGCUGCAGAAACGAUUCACUACUGACUGUGUCUACUGCAAUAGCCUGUGUCCCAGUUCUACAAUAGUCUCCGAACUAUCCGCCUGAAAAAAAGAGAAGCAGUCUCAGGGGAUCAAAGAGCGCAGCCAGCCAUAUGCAAAUUGAAUCAAGAUGGACGGUGCUAGACGUUUUUUUCGCCAUAACGGGCUAUUGCAGUUUGUUCUUUGUGAAACAGCUGUCCUGUUUAGCUCCCUGUCUCCAGUGGAUUACUGAAUCUGAUUACUCUGGGGAGAGGUCUUUGGAUUAUACUGAUGUUGUGGUCUGUAAAGAUUCAGCAUCUCUCAGAAUCAAAGAGUUGCUUCCUUUUAACUGGGUUUAAUUUGAGUGGUAAUAUAAAAACUGACUAGUGCCACAUAUGGCUGGUAGCCCCAUAGAGUGACUGUGAUGACAAAGCUUUGAGUGUCCGCCAUCUCACACACUUAGUAAAGCACUUUAGUUACUGCCAUUUAUGCACAGACGGACAUUUUGAUUGCUGUCGAAUGCACACUGUUUAUUACAUAUUAUGCUGAUUUGUGUAAAAGGGUUUACAUUAUUUCAUUUUGUGUUCAUGCUGAUAUUGACUUCAUCUAAUUCAAUUUCAUGCUUGCUCUCAGACUUCGGAUUCUGUGUUUAUUUGGUCAGAAAGUGGCACAUACCUGGCUAUAACAACAGUGUUGGUGUACAUUAAGUCAUUUCAACACUCUGCAUAAUGUUCAGAUUGUAUUUCUGUUUUUCUUCAAUGUUCCAGCACCUGUUUUGUUAAACUGAAGAUUUCAUUUUUUCCGUUGGAAGCAAGUCUGCAUUCACUGCUUUAGCUUCACUGGGUCAUGGGAUGAGGCAGGAAAUUUAAAAAAAUCUUUUUUGUUGUUUUUAUUAACAAUAUCCUCGUCCAGUUGCUCGAUUUAUUUUGUUCAACAUCCGUAAGGUAAAAAAUAAUAAAGCAUUCUUUUUUCACCAGGUUUCUUGUCCAUGGUGAUCUUAGGCUUGUGUACGGCUGCUCGGCCACAGAAACCCAUUUCAUGGUGCUAUUAAUGAACAGUUCUUGUGCUGACGUUGUUUCCAGAGGUAGU